AAAUAAAUAUCCAAGUAACCUGUAGGAACACGUCAAACACUGGAGGAUGCCACAGAUGUUUAUAAACCGGCUCAUAGGCAGAGUUCCAUUAAAGCCUGGAGGCUUUAAACAACUCUGUCAUGUUAAUCAGGAACUCCUCACAGUCUCACUUAGACCACUUGGAUCAAGACUGAUCAAGACGGAUCAAGACUGAAGAGUUAAUAUAUUUUGAUGUGAGCAGAGCUUAACAUCAUGACUGGUUGUCGAUCCUAAAAGUGAAAAGUGACCUUCAAAUACUGUGUUUCAGCACUGAGGGCCUGAUCCAAAGUCUGCUGGGGAGAAAGGAGGCUUGAGCACUCUUUCCCAACAGGGUUUUUGAGAACCUCCAGAGAAAAACUGCUGACAACA